AAUGAACGCUGGCGGCGUGCCUAACACAUGCAAGUCGAACGAGAAAGGUUUCUUUCGGGAGACCGAGUAAAGUGGCGCACGGGUGAGUAACGCGUAGGCAACCUACCCCUUGUGUUUGGGAUAACACCUCGAAAGGGGUGCUAAUACCGGAUGUGGUCAUAGUUUACUAGGGGCUGUGGCCAAAGGGGGCCUUCGGGCUUUCGCACGGGGAUGGGCCUGCGUCCUAUCAGCUAGUUGGUGAGGUAGCGGCUCACCAAGGCAACGACGGGUAGCUGGUCUGAGAGGAUGAUCAGCCACACUGGCACUGGAACACGGGCCAGACUCCUACGGGAGGCAGCAGUGAGGAAUUUUGCGCAAUGGGGGAAACCCUGACGCAGCAACGCCGCGUGGGCGAUGAAGGCCUUCGGGUCGUAAAGCCCUGUCGGGCGGGAAGAAGUCUGCUCUUGAAGAAUACGCGGGAGUAGUUGACGGUACCGCCAGAGGAAGCACCGGCUAACUCCGUGCCAGCAGCCGCGGUAAUACGGAGGGUGCGAGCGUUAUUCGGAAUUACUGGGCGUAAAGCGCGUGCAGGCGGGUGAGGUAAGUCUGAUGUGAAAGCCCGGGGCUUAACCCCGGAAGGGCAUUGGAAACUACCCAUCUUGAGUUCCGGAGAGGAAGGGGGAAUUCCCGGUGUAGAGGUGAAAUUCGUAGAGAUCGGGAGGAAUACCAGUGGCGAAGGCGCCCUUCUGGACGGCAACUGACGCUGAGACGCGAAAGCGUGGGGAGCAAACAGGAUUAGAUACCCUGGUAGUCCACGCCGUAAACGAUGAUCACUGGGUGUGGCGGGUACUCAUUCCCGCCGUGCCGCAGCCAACGCGUUAAGUGAUCCGCCUGGGGAUUACGGUGGCAACACUAA
rnacentral:rRNA from 1 species